UGGGUUGUAGCUCAGUGAUAGAGUACUUGCCUAGCAUGUAUGAGGUACUGGGUUCAAACCUCAGCACCACAU
rnacentral:tRNA from 1 species